rnacentral:rRNA from 1 species
UACGGAGGGGGCGAGCGUUAUUCGGAAUUAUUGGGCGUAAAGCGCGUGUAGGCGGCUUGGUAAGUCCGCUCUGAAAGCCCGGGGCUCAACCCCGGGAGGCGGGUGGAUACUGUCAAGCUCGAGUCCGGAAGAGGCGAGUGGAAUUCCUGGUGUAGCGGUGAAAUGCGCAGAUAUCAGGAAGAACACCGGUGGCGAAGGCGGCCUGCUGGGCAGUUUAGCUGACACUGAGGCGCGACAGCGUGGGGAGCAAACAGG